UCCUACGGGGGGCAGCAGUGAGGAAUAUUGGUCAAUGGGCGGGAGCCUGAACCAGCCAAGUCGCGUGAGGGACGACGGUCCUAUGGAUUGUAAACCUCUUUUGUCGGGGAACAAAGGCGUCCACGGGUGGGCGGAUGAGUGUACCCGAAGAAAAAGCAUCGGCUAACUCCGUGCCAGCAGCCGCGGUAAUACGGAGGAUGCGAGCGUUAUCCGGAUUUAUUGGGUUUAAAGGGUGCGUAGGCGGGCUGUUAAGUCAGCGGUCAAAUGUCGGGGCUCAACCCCGGCCUGCCGUUGAAACUGGCGGC
rnacentral:rRNA from 1 species